rnacentral:rRNA from 1 species
CCCUUAGAUGUCCGGGGCCGCACGCGCGCUACACUGAAGGAAUCAGCGUGGCUUUCUCCCUGACCCGAAAGGGUUGGGAAACCCGUUGAAUCUCCUUCGUGAUAGGGAUUGGGGCUUGAAAUUGUUCCCCAUGAACGAGGAAUUCCCAGUAAGCGCGAGUCAUAAGCUCGCGUUGAUUACGUCCCUGCCCUUUGUACACACCGCCCGUCGCUACUACCGAUUGAACGGUUUAGUGAGGGCCUCGGAUUGGUCUCGGCCCGCUCUUUACCAGGCGGCGCCGUUGGUCGAGAAGACGCUCGAACUUGAUCGUUUAGAGGAAGUAAAAGUCGUAACA